rnacentral:lncRNA from 1 species
UUAUUUUUCACUGCUUCAACCUCCAAGAAUCAACCAAGUUACUAACCCCUUAUCAGAAGGUCUAAUCCUCUAAAACACAAGACAUGUGAUGUCCAUUUUUUCAGAUAUAAUUUUAUUCUUUCAAUUACCCUUUGUGAGGACGUCUCUCCAUUAAGCUUUCUAAAUUACUCGUGUAGCGAGUUUUAGGUCGAUUACUUUCAAAUCAGAUGAUUUUAGGGCAUCACAUUUUAAACCCUUGCAGGCUUAAUCAUUCGAGUUAUAAAGGCUAUGAAGAGACGAUUCAUAAUAAGAUUAUUAAAGUUGUCCUCAUUGGGAUCUUUUUUCUUUGUAGUGAUUAGUAUAAUUCCCCUUAUUAAACACCUAUUCUCGAAAAUUGACCUCUAGCCUAAGGUUUUCACCCAAUUUUUAUCUAAUUAGUCUCCGACAGUCCACACAAAAAAUUAGCACACAUGGAAUCAACAUUUAUCUCCAAGUUUUCCUGCAACAGUGCAAUCAUCCAAACAUCCUAGGUUUGGUUUAAGGGUAUAAUAAUAAUUAAUGGUUGUUUGGAUUUAACAUCUAAAUUCUCUAAUCCAACCUAUAAACAUGAAUCAAUCUAUUCGUGUAGAACGCCACAAUCAACUCACGUGCAAGAAUAUUUUUCAUUUCAUACGAAUAAGCAAAAAUUUAACUCAAACACACAACUUAUCCACAAUUUAGAAAUCAAUGCAUGUUCUCAAUAAUAUACAUCAUUGUCGGCAAAGUAUCUAACUCACACAAGUAUGCAAAACACAAUUUUUUAGUUGUACACAAAUCACACAAAAUAAAAAAUAAAUAAAUUAUGCAAUUAGACAAUUUAUAAUACACUCUCUCACACUUAGACUAAACAUUGUCCCCAAUAUGAAAUUAAAAGAGAAGGAGAAGAACUUCCCUGAAUUGUCUAAAUUGCCCAUGACAGUACGGUGUUAUGAUAUUGAUGCUGAUGAACGGAUCUUCUAACUUUUUCCCCAAACUUGAUAUUUAUCUUUUUUUUUUCCUUGUCAAUAUUGGUUUAAGUGUUUCGCGACGUCAUGUUCCUGAAAAGUCAAAGUUUAGAUAUUAAACAAAUAGAACAAGUGGUACUUAACUCAAACAUCUAAUAACCAAUUUGAUUACUCAAAUACCUAAGAGGAGUUAGGAUAUGGCUGAUGAAUACCGAAAUAAACUCUAAAAUACAAUAAACUAGCGUAUAAUUAAAAAAAAUAAAAAAACAAACGAUUGGUUUGCCUCCCN